GUCCUUUUAACUUUGCAAUGUUUUUUGUUUUGUUUUUAGAAAUUCACCUCUAGUGGCUGUCUUCUAGUCGCUGUGCAUGCACAUCAUGUCCCUAUGAGGAGCAGUGGAUUGGGCUAUUGCCAGAGGAGGUCAAUACUCCUGAAUGGUGUUCCUGGGAGGUAGAGAGGUGAGUAGUGCCAAGAGAUCCUGGCACUGGAAACAGAUAAGUAAAACUCAAAUUUUAUUAAUGUUUUGGCAAUGGGACUUGGGACUACUAUAGAUAGGGGCAGAGACGCUAU